rnacentral:rRNA from 1 species
AGGGGAUCGCAAGACCUUGCGCUUUUGGAGCGGCCGAUGUCUGAUUAGCUAGUUGGUGAGGUAAAGGCUUACCAAGGCUUCGAUCAGUAGCUGGUCUGAGAGGACGACCAGCCACACUGGGACUGAGACACGGCCCAGACUCCUACGGGAGGCAGCAGUGGGGAAUUUUGGACAAUGGGGGCAACCCUGAUCCAGCCAUGCCGCGUGAGUGAAGAAGGCCUUCGGGUUGUAAAGCUCUUUCAGCCGGAACGAAAAGGUUACGGUUAAUAACCGUGACUAAUGACGGUACCGGAAGAAGAAGCACCGGCUAACUACGUGCCAGCAGCCGCGGUAAUACGUAGGGUGCGAGCGUUAAUCGGAAUUACUGGGCGUAAAGCGUGCGCAGGCGGUUUUGUAAGUCAGAUGUGAAAUCCCCGGGCUUAACCUGGGAACUGCGUUUGAAACUACA